ensembl:lncRNA
AUACUGAAAAAGAAAAUGCGAGAAUUUCGGGUUAAAUGGAAGAUUUUCGAAGAGAAAACGCAUGAUUUUCGCUUAAAUGGGGGAUUUCCGAAAAAAAAAAAAGUGAGAUUUUUGGGCUAAAUGCAAGAUUCUUGAAGAGAAAAAUGCGUGAUUUUCGCUUAAAUGGGGGACUAACCAUGAGAAAAUGGUUGAUUUCCAGGUGAAAUGGUAGACUUUUGAAGAGAAAACGCGUGAUUUUCGGGUUAAAAAGGGGAUUCUAGAAGAGAAAAAAUGUGAUUUUCAGGUAAAAUGGGGGAUUUUCAAUAAGAAAACGCGUGAUUUUCGCUCAAAUGGGGGAUUUGCGAAGAGAAAACGCGUGAUUUUAGAGUAAAAUGGGGGAUUCUCGAAGAGAAAACGCGUGAUUUUUGAGUUAAAUGGGGGAUUUACGAAGAGAAAAUGCGUCAUUUUCGUUUAAAGGGGGGAUUCUGGAAGAGAAAAAGCGUGAUUUUCAAGAUAAAUGGGGAAUUUACGAAGAGAAAACACGUGAUUUUCGGGAUAAAUGGGGGAAUCCCGAAGAGAAAACGCGUGAUUUUUGCAUAAAUGGGGGAUUCUUGAAGAGAAAAGGCGUGAUUUUCAGGUUAAAAGGAAGAUUUCCAAAGAGAAAAUGCAUGAAUUUCGGGUUAAAUGGAGGAUUCUCGAAGAGAAAAUGUGUGAUUUUUGGCUUAAAUGGGGGAUUCUCGAAGAGAAAAUGCGUGAUUUUAGCUUAAAUGGGGACUCUCGAAGAGAAAAUGUGUGAUUUUCGCUUAAAUGGAGGAUUCUCGAAGAGAAAAUGCGUGAUUUUUGCUUAAAUGGGGACUCUCGAAGAGAAAACACAUGAUUUUCACUUAAAUGGAGGAUUCUCGAAUAGAAAAUGCGUGAUUUUUGCUUAAAUGGGGGAUUUGCGAAGAGAAAACGCGUGAUUUUCGAUUAAAUGGGGGAUGUGCGAAGAGAAAACGCGUGAUUUUUGGGUUAAAUCGGGGAUUUGCGAAGAGAAAAUGCGUGAUUUUUGCUUAAAUGGGGGAUUUGCGAAGAGAAAACGCGUGAUUUUCGGGUUAAAUGGGGGAUUCUCGAAGAGAAAACGUGUGAUUUUCAGUUAAAUGGGGGAUUUGCGAAGAGAAAACGCGUGAUUUUCGCUUAAAUGGGGGAUUUGCAAAGAGAAAACGCGUCAUUUUCGAGUUAAAUGGGGGAUUUGCGAAGAGAAAACGCGUGAUUUUCGCUUAAAUGGGGGAUUCUUGAAGAGAAAACGAGUGAUUUUCGGGUUAAAUGGAAGAUUUCUGAAGAGAAAGCGUAUGAUAUUCGGGUUAAAUGAGGGAUUCUCGAAGAGAAAACACGUGUUUUUUAGUUAAAUGGGGUAUUAGCGAAGAGAAAACGCUUGAUUUUCAGUUAAAUGGGGGAUUCUCAAAAAGAAAACGUGAUUUUCGAGUUAAAAGGUGGAUUUGCAAAGAGAAAACGCGUGAUUUUCGGGUUAAAUGGGGGAAUCUCGAAGAGAAAACGCGUGAUUUUUGCUUCAAUGGGCGAUUUCCGAAGAGAAAACGCGUGAUUUUCGUUAAAUGGGGGAUUUGCGAAGAGAAAACGCGUGAUUUUCGCUUAAAUGGGGG